UUUCUCAAGUGAGACACUAGAGAGAGUAGAAAGGGAGGAAGAGAUAGGGCGAGAAGAAAAGGAGGGAGGGACAGAGAUGAGGACGAGAAAGAAGAAAAAAGGGAAAGAGAAAAUACCGUCUGAAGUCCACAGGCUUAUCUAUCCCAAGCAUGUCUACCCCACGCAUGUGGGCAUCAUAUCCAGGUUGUAACAAAGAGGUGACCAUGGCGUUUAUUUUUGGCUCCAGACAGGCGGAUUCAGCCUGCAUUGCAUGCAUGCAUGUCUGUCACCUCAUCUAAGUCCCCAUUCCUUCCGGAGUUGUGAGCUCCAGAUCCAAGAGUGCCCAGUGCACGGUGCUGGGCACGCUGUCCCUUGGCGAGGCUGCCACAGGUUCCUGAGUGUGCGGUCAGGGGCGUUGGUGCAUUGAUACGUUAGGCGGAGGGAGGAGUACCAUCUGCCAGAGUCUUAUCUCGAGUCCCACGUUUUCUGGCCAUCGCGGAGGAGUGUGCGAGGACAGGUAGCCCUCGCAGUGACAAGGCGCGCGGAGUGCGGUCGUGCAAGGCGGGGGAGGAGCGGGGUGGCCCUGCCGAAUCUUAACCGGGGCCCCGGGUGUUUGCAGACCCAAAUAAAGCCGCCUUGGGUCUCCACGGUGUCCUCCAGAAGCUGCUGCCUGAGAACUCUGAGCCUCAGCUCUGUCUUGCUUCGGGAUCCUCUUCCUCCUCCUUCCCCACCCCCUACCUGGCCUGAACGGCGGAACGCGCGGCUCGGGGGAUCCCCUCUCCCUGGGACCGGCCCUGUCCCGGGUCGCCUCCACCUCCCGCAGCCGCCGCGCCCCGGCUCGCCGCGCUCCCGCCGGCACCAUGGAGGAAUUCCUGGGACAACCGCCUGCAGCCGGCGACUUUUCCCCAGGAAUCUCUGGCCUGGCGCCCUUUGGGUGAGAUGACGGGGUGCUGGCAUCCCUGUCGGUCCCAGAUUACCCGGAAAAGCCCUGGCAGGUAAAGAGAGGACCCGCGCAGGCUGGGAGCUCCCACUCCUCCUCCAGCGUCACGCUCGCCCUCCGCCGCUGCCUCGCGUCCGGGUCUGUUUAUAUAGCGUCUGGAGGCCGGGAGGCAUUGCCCACCCCCGCCAGGCGGCCCGCCCUCCCCUCCUGGGCUCCGGGCUGCCGCACGUGGCAGACACCAGCGACGUCUCCGCGGAAGGCAGGCGCCGGGGAGUGGGGCGCGGGCGACCGUGUGCAGCCGCGGCGCAUCUCCGCCUUCCGCUCCUCCUCGCAGCGCCCUCGUCCGCUUCCAAGCCCAGCACAGACUUCGGUUUCUCCGCCUCCAUCCCCUUUACGAGAAGAGGAGAUCAAAAAAUAUUGCCCUUUAGGUGCUCGUGAUGGUCCUGUGGGUUCGUUCAGUUGCCAGAAAAGAAUGGUAACAUGAACAGCGGAGCGUGAGAGCGUCACCGGGGGAAGGGACGAGAUUGAUGGGCAGAGCGCUCACUUCUCAGAGGAUCGCAUUCCGAGGACCGCGCGAGGAAGGGACGUCGCGGCGCCACCACUUCCUGGCUGGACUCCGCUGACAUCUGUAGCCUCCUUUCCACCAGGUUCCCGGGGCUCCCAGCCGCUGCCUGCAGAGGAGCGUGUAGACAGCGCGCGAGGGUCCGGCACUUCGUGGACCUCCAUCCGAACCGGAGUUCUGCCCGGAUCCCGAGUCCCUGGAUCCCGGUGGAGCCCGCCGGCAAGCUGGCUCCGGAGGGAGUUGAACUUGAGUUCAGAUGGCCAACUCCCUCUGAAUCCUGCAGAUUGGUGCUGAGCACGCAACAAAAGUUUGUAGCUUCUCAGUUUCUGGUGCUUCGCAGGGGAGAGGAAAGGAAUUUGACAUUAAACACAAGAAGCAGUCAGGGAGCCAUCUCCUUUAACUUUUCUUCUCUGUUACCAUUUGCAAUGAAGAGGAAACAGAAGAGAUUUCUGCAGAUGACUUUGUUGUUCACGGUGGCUUUAAUUUUCCUGCCUAACGUUGGUCUCUGGUCUCUGUACAAGGAUAAGCACCUGGUGAAGUCAGCGGAGCCCGGGGAGCAGCAGGUAAGUGCCACCCAGAGAAAGAUCACACAAGGAUUGGUAAGGCAGUGAUCCUCGCGCGGGGACUCGAGAAAGCCGGUGUGGGAUCGCCUUGGGUUUUCCCCCAAGUCUUGACAGAGCUGAUUAUUACAAGACUCUAGAGACUUUGGGGUUUAAGCAAGUAGAUGUUUUAAGAUUGCAGCCAGUAACAUCGUGACAUGUACAACUAGUAAAGAAGGAUAAGACAGGUCAAGAAGAAGAGAAGAUAAUCUUUCACCAUUGGUCUUAGGUUGAUUUUGACUUGAGGUGGAUGAAAGGUAACUGUUCAGCUAUGGAGGUGGGAGUGGGUUUGGUGCAAGUUUAAUGACAAGGAUAGGUUUUUGCUUUCCAUUUGGCAUGCAUGUCUAUGUUCAGGUGAAUUGGGCCAACUAAAUCAUUAAGAUUGUGAAGUGGUUCUUUAAAAAUCAAGCUAUGGUUUUCAGUAUUUUGGUUGUAAAUUUUGCUUAGCAACAGCUUUUUACCCUGUCGAAACUUAAAGUCUCUCUUUCGUCUCCCCUGUUGCUAAGGUGCUGCCAUGGGGCACACAGGCAGAGUUAUUAAGGACGUUCAUUCCGUUUCACAGUCGCUUGAUAACAGUAUGUUGCUAACAGCUUGCUGUCAUAUUGGAAACACCCAUACUAAAGAUAUGUAGUAUAAUAUGUUUUCUUUCUACUUAAUAUGUAACUCAUUAGUAUGUAUAUACCUCAUGACUUAACAUGGACCAAAAUAACUGUGUUCCCUGGUGAACAAUAAUGCAAAAUAGACUUCCCAAAAUGUUGAUGAAAAUCAAUGUUGUCGAAUUCCUUGUUUGUUAAUAAAUAAAAUAGCUUCCGUAAUUAAACGUUU
rnacentral:lncRNA from 10 species